GCUGGCCGUGAAGGAUUUUCCCCUGUGACUUUGUCUGUUCGCUUCCUCCUCUUCCUGAGGUUUUGUGCCGGCCCGGACAUCACCCCCCUCGCUCAGUUUUAGCCGGGACCUUCCUGGGUGAGGAUGAGACGCCCGCUCCGGCCAGCUCAGCCACCAGAACAAUCCGUACGGUGGACCCGCCACUUCUUCUGGGCUCAGAGGCCUUCCAUCCAUUCCCUCUCUUCAAUCUUUCAGCAUCACAUUUGGGGUCGGCAAAGUCCUGCCGUAAGGGGCCAGAGAGGACCUGUUUGCAGCUCUGGUGGCCAGCAGGUCUCCGUCGCAGCCCUGGACAACACGUAAAUAAACGUGUGGCUGUGCUCCAAGGAACUUUAUGGACAGACGUGGGCCGUGGGUGGGAUUCGGCCCGCGAGCUGUGGUUUGCAACCCCCCCCGGGGUCUCAGCCGCCUGGCUACUCAAGGAGGUGCCGCGUUGUCUCGCCGAUGAGGAAGCCGAGGCUCACAGAGAGGCCAGGUGCCCAAGGUCAUGGGCCAGGAUUGUGCCAAGUUCAGAGGCUUGACCUCCAUGUCCUACGGGCAUCAAACGGACACAGGUCUCUCAGAAAUCCACACAGAUGCCACCUCGGUCUGUAUGGGGAGAACCCUCUUGCCCCCCCCCCCCCCCGCCACCAUGUCCCCAUCUCCGGCCAGGGGGGUGGCUUUUCCCGUCUGCCGGGGAGACGGUGCGGGGAAUCUGUCACUUGCCUUGCUCUCUAUCUGCCGGGGGCUUCUCUGCUGAGGGGAGGGGGUGCCGCAGAAGCCCAGGGCUUGCCCUCUGUCUGGCACCUGCACACCCCACUCCCCAGCUCCCUGUGUCCCCUCCCAUCUUCUCCAGCCCUCGGCCCCUCUCCCUGAGAACUGCAGACGCUCGUUGAUCCAGACGCUUGAAAACAUGUGGUCAGAGCUGUGGACAAGGGAUCCACAGUGCGUCACGCCUUGUCCCCCACCGGCUGGGUGUGGGAUCCUCGAUUCAUUAUCAGACCUCCCCUGGGCACACACCAUGUGCCAGGCUCCGGGCCAGAAGCGGACGUGAACAAGAGGGCUCAGCGCUAAACCAGAAGGCGGGGGACCGAGGCCUGGCUGGGCGGAGAAGCCAACAUCUCAGACCCACGGGGAGCCAGACAAAGGAGGCUGUGGGUAGCAUGACUCAAGGAGAGCAUUCCUGCACCUCCUGGAAGAGGCGGCUGUGGCACGAGGCGACAUUCCAACAGGCAGCAGAGGGGGGAGACACCCUGCAGCAUUUGAAGGGCCUGGAAUGCCAAGAAGAAAAACCUGAAGGUCUUGGCAUGAGCCUGACACCAUGUGGGUCUGGGUCGGGGCCCUGCCUCUUGCAAGCUGGACGGCUUUGGGUCACAGUCAGCGCUCAAUAAAGAAUACUGCUGUUAUGGCCGUUACUAUUAUGACAGUA